rnacentral:rRNA from 1 species
CAGCCGCCACGGUAAUACAGAGGGUGCAAGCGUUAAUCGGAAUUACUGGGCGUAAAGCGCGCGUAGGUGGUUUGUUAAGUUGGAUGUGAAAUCCCCGGGCUCAACCUGGGAACUGCAUUCAAAACUGACUGACUAGAGUAUGGUAGAGGGUGGUGGAAUUUCCUGUGUAGCGGUGAAAUGCGUAGAUAUAGGAAGGAACACCAGUGGCGAAGGCGACCACCUGGACUAAUACUGACACUGAGGUGCGAAAGCGUGGGGAGCAAACAGGAUUAGAGACCCCAGUAGUCCCUGUCUCUUAUAC